UACGUAGGCAGCGAGCGUUGUUCGGAAUUACUGGGCUUAAAAGGGCUCGUAGGCGGCCAACUAAGUCAGACGUGAAAUCCCUCGGCUUAACCGGGGAACUGCGUCUGAUACUGGAUGGCUUGAGUUUGGGAGAGGGAUGCGGAAUUCCAGGUGUAGCGGUGAAAUGCGUAGAUAUCUGGAGGAACACCGGUGGCGAAGGCGGCAUCCUGGACCAAUACUGACACUGAUGAGCGAAAGCCAGGGGAGCAAACGGG
rnacentral:rRNA from 1 species